UUUUUUUUUUUUUUUUUUUUUUUAAUUAAAUAUAUAUAUUCAGAGGGCUUUAAAUAUAAAUUGUUUUUUAGAGUGGGGUUUUUGGGGAGUGCUGAGCUUGUCUUCACUGUAAUGAAAAGGGACAGUCAGCAGAUGGCAAUGUUGUAUAGCUAUCCCAACAGGAGACAGCCACAUCAGCAAGGGAGGGAAACCUCUUAAGUAGCCAUAAGGGAAAAUGGAAUGGCCCCUGCAGGCCUUUGGAGACUUGGCCCUUCAAGCAUACUUCGUCUGAAUCCUUGUGCAGUCUUUCUGUGUUUGUAAUAAAUUUUGUAACAAUUCAACAUUAAAACCCCCUCAUUUGAAAGGGAAAGCCCAAUAUAAUCUAAGAGCUUUCUAAUUAAACUAGUUCAUUGCCAUAUUCUUUUAAAAACACUUCAUAAUGCUGUAUAAGUACAACAACGUUCUUUGCUGCAGAGGUUUUAUUUUUAAAAAGAUAAGCGUGUCUGAUGCAUUUUCUUUUGCUGGAAUGUUAACAGAUCCAUUCAACUGCCUUUUCAUGCUCAAACUAGGAGUCAACUCAUCAAACAUAUUUCUCCAAUGCCAAUUAAAAGUUCUAUCCAUAGAAUCCAAUGUGGUUCAAGCAUACGGCAAGCUAAUUUAUACAUGAGUUACCUUCACUAGCUCUAAUUCCAAAUAACUGGAAAUCUUCUCCUUGGCUCCAGCAAGUUCCAGAUUAGGCCUGCUGUGCUUUGCCCUCUAGAAAGUGGAAAGGAAGUUCAAGGAACUAGCACAGAAAUUUUAAAUAAACUGAAAAUCACUCAGGAAAAUCAAAGUUUUUUACUAACAGAAUCAGAAGACUCAAAGCUGGAAGGGACCCAGAAGGAUCAUCAAAGUCCAUCUCUUGGCCCUGCACAGGAAAGCCCCAAGAAGGAUGCCAUCUGCCUGAGAGCUUUGUUCAGACACUUCUUCAGCUCUGUUGGGCUUGGUGGCACGACCAUACAGAUACAGAACAGACACAUUAUGGUACUUAAAGACUUAGAAGUUUUCUGAAAACAUCCUGCUGAUGUUUUUUUUUACACCUGAAAUGGACAAGUUCAAGCCCUGGUCUCUUCUGACACUGCUCUCUAGUGACUGUUUUGGCAACUUUUUUGUGCAGUGCAGUUUCCUUUAUAUUGGUAACUAGCUUGAGAUUCCUAAACUUCUUUGAUGUGAACACUUCUUUAUUUGAAAGGGGUGCAUUAUUGGGUCAUCUGAAGCAUUUGAAGUAACAUAUUUUAAGAAGUUAAAUCAUGCAUGUUUGAUUAUUGAUGCUGCCUGUCACAAGUAAGUAUUGAAUAUAAUUGUUUCUGUGGUGCUUUCAACAUUUUGUUUUAGAACAAGACUCUUCAUUUCUGCCAUGUUUUUACUCUUCCAAAGCUCUGUAUAUUCCAAGGCUUUGGAUGAGGGGCCAUCCAACCCAAAACAUGGUGGAAGAGAGGCUAUCCCUACUUACUUAUCCACUGUCAAGUUCAUGAGAAGCACAUACAUGAAACACAGGUGUGUGUUUCAGCAUAUUUAACAUAGCUUCAGAUUGGUGGUUGUGAGUUUGUAGUGCUGCUUAGAGGUUUGUUUUUUCUACCUGAAGUACAAUUUUACAGAAACUGAGUCAAUGUCAGCCAGAACCAAAGCUUUGCAUGAGAUGAAAAAUGUAUCUAUAAAAAAUUUGAAAAGUCUGGUUUGUUGUCCAUGAGAAUUUUUGUACCUGUAAUUUAUCAGUGUAAGAAAUCACUGCAUCCAGGCAAAUCAGGUAGUGGCAGGCUGCAGUAAAUUUAAUUCCUUAGUUUGCUGCAUGCCUCAUUUGCUAGUUUAGUAAUUUAAUUCCUUAGUUUGGUGCCUGCCUCAUAGUUAGUUAAAUCAUUUGUUAGCAAAUGAUUUAAUCUAUCAGUUGGAGGUGGACAUCUUAAGUUAGUUGAAGGCCUGAGGACAUGCAGAAAGGCUCACUGUCCUGAGUGCGUUUUGGGUCAGCCUUUCAGGGUUUCAAACAUUACAUUAUGGAGUUGUUGCCUUUUGUUACAACACAAAAAUCAGAGAAAGAUUUAUCAGAUUUAGAUUUGCAGGUGGUGUUUUGUGCCAUAGGGACCCCAAACUGUUGCUGCAGGUUCCUGUUGUGUCUGUGACCUAUAUACUCCCAUGCACAAUUAUGACAUUGUUGGUAAGAAUCCAAAAUUAUAGUUACAGACUCCAAAGAAUAAGGUCCAUUAAUAUAGGAAAGAAUAACUCUAUUUUCAUCUUACUGCCAACAUUUGGUGUCAAAGGGGAUGUUAUAUUUUCUGAUACUCACAGAAAUUUUUACUUUUAAAUUUUAUUAGAGAAGUAAGAUCAUUCCUUUUCAAAGAAGCUAUGAAUAUUAGCAAGAAGAGUCCUGAACUCGGAUAUUAUGAAAUAUAAACAUUUUCAAUUUAAUUAUUUUUUCAAACUUCAAAUAGAAAAUAAAUAAUUCUAUUAGUCUAUGAAAUCGUAAAAUUAAGGCUAUGCUUCUGUUAAUUUUCUGUCUCUGGCUCUUGAUUGAGAAUUGUGAUAUGUUUCAUAAGUUGAUAUGUACAGCUGUGGUGCGCUUGUGUUGUUGAAGGGUGGCAAUACAAAUAGCUCUCAAUUCAGGAGCUGCUACCUAAUAAUCUAAGACCACUAACACACAAUAAUUUUGUGAACAUGCAAAGUAACCACUUUAUGGUAUGAAGUUAUUGUAUAUCAUGUUGUUGUGAUUUCUUGGAUGGAUGCAUUCAUUAGGCUUAAUGAGGGGGUGGGGAGGAAUUGAGGAAGAAAAACAGUAAAGGAAAGCAUGAAAUCUAAAUGAGCAGUCUCCCCACCAACAGCAGGGAGAGGAGUUACCAGAAAAUGAUUUGUAUUUCACUUCCUGCUUAAAUUUGCAAGGAUUUCUUUGCCAGAGCAGCAUACUAGUAGAUCUAGGAAGUUGAAGAUGAUUACAAAAUUAUGGGCAAAAUAAAUAAACGUUUUGGUUACUGAAUGUUACAUUCUCUUUAGGAACUGAACAUAAGUCAGUGUAGCUGAGGUGUUAGAGAUUAUAUAAAGCACCUGUAUGAAUAGAAGAGUUCUUUUCCCUUUCCCUUCAAAAAGUAUGGAUGAAUUAUGUUCUAAGAACAUGAAAGACAGAAAAGGUGCAAACAAGGUUAUAAGUCAUGGUCACACCUGAAUCUGCUUAUAAAUUGGAGAACUGUGCAUUAAUCUACUUUCUGAUAUUUCUUUGACUUUGAAUUGAGGAUUGAGUGAUCUGCAGGCCGGGUAUGGGACUCGGUGGGUAAAUGUCAAUGUCAUUUGGCAGACAAAACUUGGACAAAAAUAAAACUCAGUUCUUUCUGAGAGGAUAAUAGGAUAUAUUUUGUUAAAAAUUAAAAUUUGAGAACAUUAUAAAUGUGAAAUAAUUGGUCAGCCAAAAGGCUAUUAGAAAUAAAACAUAAAGGUAAUUACUAGUAGAUAUAGCAGAAUACAAGGUUAAUUAGUCUCAUUGGUAUGAUGUUAAUAAUUGAAUGUAAUCAGCCCUGGGAUACUUACAGUAGCGCUCUCACUAAAUGUUUUAAAAAAUGUAACAGAAGGAUUUUUACAUUUUGCUUCAAGCAGAGCUUAUGUAUAAACCUUUUAAAGUACCACACUGUCUUGGGAUUUUUGCAUAAUAAAAUGCUUUGUAAAAUGAA